GAAACCCUGUCUCAAAAAACAAAAACAAAACAAAAAAAAGUUUUGAUUUUUCUAUAAUUUUGGUCCAUGAGUUCCAGAUUCUUCACUGUCUCUCUGCAUUUGUCUCCUGGUGAAAUGCCCCAUCCCAGAGAGGCUAGAACAAAAGUCUGGAGAGGAGAGUGUUACAGAAGCCGAAGGACUGGGUCUCUAAAAUGAUAGCCUGGCCAGCUGGCUCACAAGAGGGCAGAGGCAGCUAGAAAUGUCUGUGGGAUUAGACAGCUGUGCGGGUGGGACCUGGAGACUGCUGCUUCUGUGUGGGGUUCUAACCAAGUACAGCACUUUAACCCUGAGGUUCCAUGGUAUUUUCUGGACAGUGUUUCAUUGUUUACAUACAAUGCAUGGACAUUGUUGUUUGCUUUGGCCUAGGAAAUCCUAGUUCCCUGUCUCUACUUAUUUUCUACUUAAGACCUCUAAAAAAAAUCCACAAAAUGCUUAUUCUUUUACUGAAUAUUCUUGAUUUCUUUCAACACCUGUUUUGAAAUACUAUGCUGUUGCUUGACUUAUUUAAGGAAAAGGAGAUUUCCAAGUAUGAUGGUUGGGGGAAGAGUUGCCACCAGCGAGCACCUGUGGGUGGGUGGGUAUGCCCUGUCCCCUCCCCCUCCCUCUGAGUCUCUGACUCUGUAUAUGCAGGUGUGUGUGCCUGUGGAAGGCAAGAGGUCAACCCCUAGGUAUCUUCCUCGGUGCCAUGCAGCUUGCUUUCCAAACAAGGUCUCUGCUGGGACUUGGGGCUUGGCCAUUAGGCUAGUGGGUCAUCAAGCUCCAGGGAUCCACCUGUCUCCAUGUCCUCAGCAUUGGAAUUCUAAGUAUGUGUCAUCAUACCUGGCUUUGGUACAGGAAUUCUAGGGAGCAAACUUAGGACCUUAUGCUUACAAGGUAAGUGCUUUACUAACUGAACCAUCCUCCAAACCAGAAAGCUUACUGUUUCAUGCUUACCACUAAGAUGAAACUCAGCUUUGCAAAGCAAACAGGGGGCAACACCUGGUGGCACCCAAGUCUCUUGUCACAUUAGGCAUGUGAAUGCACAGUGAAUGCCACUGAUCUCUCCAGUUCUAGUCACAUAUGCACUAUUGGAAGAAUGCCUUCAACAUCUCACAGUAGCUUUUGUCCCCUUAUUUCUUCUUUCCCUCUCCUUCCCUCUUUCCUUCUCCCAAUUUCUUUUUUUCUGUGUAUAUAUCUGUGUGCAUGUGCAUCUAAGUAUGGAAGCCAGAGGUCCACAUUGAAUGUCUCUUCUGUAUUGCUUUUAUUCUUUGAGGCAAGAUUAUUCACUAAACCUGAACCUAAAGCUCACUGACUAGAUUGGCUGGCCAGUGAGUUUCCGGGAUCUACCUUCCUCUACACUCCUGCCUUCACCCUCUUAGAGUGUGUGUCUCUACUU
rnacentral:lncRNA from 1 species